rnacentral:misc_RNA from 1 species
UUAACUAUUAGAUAGUACUCAGACGACACUAACAUUCAGAGUUUGGGGUCCUCUGGCGGGCGCUUACCAGCUGGAGCCGGUAGCCUGGCCGAAGCCUGACGGCCCGCCAAAGCAACAAGGUAAUAUAACAUAGGGUGGGAGGUCUACCCGUAAGGGCAUGAACUCGGUAAUGAUCCCUCCGCAGGUUCACCUACGGAGA